AAGAACUCCUCCCAUAUCCCUAACCUUCUGAAGGCCACCACCACACCCGUAGCUUGCCAUGGAUCGCGCCGCCGCCCGGCUCCCCACCGUCGUCUUCGCUCCCUGUCUCAUCUGCCGUCGCUGCCCACCACAUCCACUCUAUGUCGCAUCCCACCGCUUCCAUCGCCACCGUUAACCAUCUCUCGCCUUAGUCCUCUCUCUUGGACCAGCACGCUGCGGCGGAUGCUUCCGGUCGUGUGGUGGCGACGCGGCUGGUCGCCUAUAAGCUACAACAAUGGUUCCCUGUUGUACCCCUCCACUCACCAGACCGCUGAGGCAUGGAUGUACCCGGUGAAGAUCGCGCUCCGCAUAGCAAAUUCGGCCAUGUUCUGAGUGGUUGCUCGGCAAGGUAGAAGAGCAAGUGAUCAGAAGGCCCAUAAUUUUUUCAUGGAUGUAGAAGAAACCGAAAAGAUCCUUUCAUGGUUGUACAAGGAAGCCCUAAAAUACCUACCUUCACCUUCGCUUCCUCUAAUCUGUACUCUAUCCCUCCCCCAGUUGAAAAACAAAUCCACGUCUCUCUCAAAACCAAGUUGAGGCAUGGAUCCCGUGUAAUCAAGGAGCUUAUUGUGUCAAGAUUAUUUUCUUCCUCUGGAUCAGUCACCCCUUCAGAUAGUGUUGCGCGCUCAAGGGAUUCAAUCUAGAAUCUUCUCACCUACAGUACAACCUAUGGAUGUCCGAGAUCGGUCGGGGCAUAACUAUGCUCCUCAGGUGAGUUUAUAAAUUAAGAAACAUGUUGUCUAAACAAACAUAAACAUGAAGGAGCCUAAUGUCAGUUGUCAACAUGCCGCUGUUUAAGCACUCCUAAAUCAAUUUUCGUAUGGGCAAAACAUGCCAGGGACCCUAUAUGGCAAGAUUAAUAUCUUUUCUUGAUUUCUUUUGUUGCUGCUCUGCCACAAUCUCCUGAUUAAGGAAGUACCUUGCCAAGCUGGCAUGUCCUGGCCGUUGUAGGUAAGAGAAUUGACUUCUGAUGAACUUUCUUCUUCUUAUCCUCUUUCAGUUAGAUAGUUACAUUGUGAAACACUUGACAACGAAGCUCUCUGUCAACUAUUAGAGUAUUGACGGUUUCUGUCGUAAAUCUGAAUGUUUUUGCGGGCAAUUGUUUUGUAAAAGCAAUGGCACAUGACAACUACUAAAGCAUUGAGUGUCAUUGCUGUUGCACUUUCUAUAAGUAUGGGGAUUGAUUUUCUGCCAAUUCUGCGUUACAACUUACGACUGACAACUACUAAAUUUCAAUGCCCUUUUUGACAAUUUUAGGUUAAAUAGAAUGGCGUGUGAAAUAAUUGGUGCUAUCAACUAGGAGUAAUCAUGUCAUUGUUGGGUAAUGUAGCAGUUAUGCUCUGCAUUGAUAUUAAAGUCAACACAAAGGAACUCUCACAUAUGUUUGCUUUGUCUCCAACUGGGAAAUAAUGUGUGCAUACAUACCCACUGGAAUGUUACCCGCGCUCCGUACUCGGCUCCGGUGAUACAGUUUAACGGCAAGACACACUUAUCUAACAAAGUGCUCACAACUUCCCAGCAAAUGCUGCUCAUUGAGUGCCUCCUCCAUUCAAUGAGGAAAAGUUGACUGCUUGAGAAAAAGAAGCUGUGAGUUCCCCACAUCUACUGAACAUCGUUUUGGUUACUUCGUUUCUCUUCCUGCAGUUUUUGCAUGGGCUGCGGAUGUGAUGCUUUGUAUGGGAACAAGACUGAUAUGAUUUGGAUAUGCUGCAUGUACAUUCGACUUAGUUGUACUCGGGAAUGUUUAAGAAAGUAAUUUGCAACAACGUGGAUGUCAGAUUUAUCAACUACUGUCACUCUUGGUUUUGAAGGAUUUGAUUAUGGGAGUUUUAGUAUGCCCUGACCAAGUACAAUAGAUGUAGACACCAUUGUCGCUUCCUUAUUUGUAUGUGAUUCAGAUAUUUUAAAACCUUAUCUGUACCAUUGAAUUAUGUUUUUUUUCUGUGGGGAGUACCAUUGAAUUAUGUUGUUAUGUAGGUUGCCCGAUAUGUUCAUCGAUGCCGUGGACAACGAUUUUUAUUAUCGUUUCCCAUAUUUAUCUAAUUAGGUUUGCAAUUACACUUUGUUUUAUUUAUCAUCUGUAUCUAGAAAAUCAGAUUGUGAAGCUUAUAAUUUAUUAGUUUUUCUGUGAUUUCCCUUUAUUUUGCUGAUAGUCCACUACUCAGGAUUAUAAGAGCCACCAUCUUUGUGAGCAUUUUAACUUCAGGUGUUCCAAGGUGUUAGUAUGGUUCUACAGAGAAAGCUGCACAACAUGCCUAAUUUUGUACUUACCUUGCAGUUCUGUAGAUCUACUACAAUUAUAUGAUGUCCUCAAAUCAGACCUUUGCAAGCAUCACAAGAUAUCAGUAUAUAUAUGUAGCGCACCUUUGGUUCAAUCAUACAUUCAUAGUAGUUUGAUGUACUACGUUUUGGUUGGUAGAGAGGAUUCUGAUGGUGACGCAUGAUUCACUGUAUUUUGUUUUGUUUUCAGGCCGAUGAAAUUGCUGGACUAGAAAAAAAAUCUGUGUGUAUAUAAGUCAUCCAGCUCCGGGAGCGCGCGGAGCGAUGCUUGGGCGACUCCUAGAAAAUGGGUUGCGGGCCGCUUCGCUCCGGCGCGGUGCUUCGGAGCGGAGAGCUACCGAACAACGCCUUUGCGUUAGGAUUAAGAGCAUGAUGAUUGCAAGGAUUUUCAGUUUUGAAAGAUGAAAUUGUUGGACUGAAAAGAAAUCAGUGUGUAUAUAUGGUAGUUCUCAUUGCAACGUCCACUUUACUCUACAGAAGGUGUUGUUGUUAAUAAUAAUCUCUGUAUUGUAAUAACUUGUGGUUGGACACUUGAGCUCCGUUAGUAAGUCCUUACUAUGAAAUAUAUUCACUAAUGUACUAAUUGCGAAAUUAAUGUGUACGCAGUUACAUGGUUCAUUAUUUGUUUAUUACAAAUAUAUGGUUGUUUA